GAUGAAGAACGUAGCGAAAUGCGAUACUUGGUGUGAAUUGCAGAAUCCCGUGAACCAUCGAGUUUUUGAACGCAAGUUGCGCCCGAAGCCUUUUGGCCGAGGGCACGUCUGCCUGGGCGUCACGCAUCGCGUCGCCCCCCACAAUUCUCCGUAAAAGGAACAUGUGUUUUGGGGGCGGAUAUUGGUCUCCCGUGCUCAUGGCGUGGUUGGCCGAAAUAGGAGUCCUUUCGAUGGACGCACGAACUAGUGGUGGUCGUAAAAACCCUCGUCUUUUGUUUCGUGCUGUUGCUCGCAAGGUAAACUCUUUAAAAACCCCAAUGUGUCGUCUCUUGACGACGCUUCGACCGCGACCCCAGGUCAGGCGGGACUACCCGCUGAGUUUAAGCAUAUCAAAGCGGAGGA
rnacentral:misc_RNA from 1 species